ensembl:lncRNA
CUGCUCUCCCCUUCACCACCACCAACAACACGGCUGCGUAAUCAGUCAGGUCCAGGGGCUGAGACGCACCGAGCCACACAGCGGUUUGCUUGUUGAUAAGACUCCUUGGAAGAAGAGAACCGCAAACUAUCUUCCUGCGACGUUAUUUCUGCCUCUAAGCUGGACUUUUGGGACGCGUUACGGUUAAAGAGGAAAAGACUCUUGACUGUCGGGAAAUGAAAAUUCAAAUGGAUUUGUAAUUUAUUGCUUUUUUAAAAAAAAAGAAAUUAAUUUGGGACACACUUGGAAUUAUUUUGACUUUGCUUCCUUUCUAAAUCUCUUGGAUAUUUUUUUUUUUUUAAAAAGUAUUUUUCUAAAGUGUAGACUUUAAUUGCUUGGAAAUUUCUUUUGCUAAAAUGGUCUUAUUCUUUUCAUCUGAGCUUUCAGCCAAAAACGGACACUUCAGCGCAUCAAGGUGAACUUAACUGAGUGAACUAAACCGGACUUUGAAGAGUGAACUAAAAGUAGGAGGCUUACUGUCGCUCUCAAUUUUUUUUUAUAUAUUUCGAGGGGAACUUGGAAAAAAAGGUUUGGUGCAAGCUGAGCGGAUUCUUCUUCAUCUUUUGGGAACACCUCUGCUGUGGGACCGCGGUGUGGACGGACGCUCGCACGCGCGCGCAGUCUCGCAGGGCGAGCCGCUGUCCCCCCGCGCGCAGUGCUGAGGAGAGAGGCUCUCUCGCGCUUCCAUAAAUGCCCGGUCCGUCGAAGAGGCUCGAGGCUGGGCAGCAAGAUGAGCUCGUGGGUACAGCUGCUGCUCGCGUUACUAGCGGUGUGUCUGCGGUUUGGCGUGGCCGAGCCGCUGCCUGUACCUGGCAUUCUUCAAUGUGUCCAUGAGUUCUCCAGGGGAUGGGGAGUUUCUUCAGGUGAUAAAUACUGCAGUAUGUCAAGUCUUGUGUUUUUUUCCUGCCAUAAUUAGCAGAAAAAAGGGAGAAAACAUACCUGAAUAGUUCAGGUAUAACACACAGUUUGGCAGGAGUGGUCUUUUGUGUUGUAGAUUAGCAGCUGUCAAAAACAAAUGCUUUGUCAGCAGAAGCUAAUUAUUCCAAACAGGCUAACUACUGCAGGCUAUAGCUACAGCUGGAUUUUGAGAUAGUUUAAUCUUUUCUUUAAGAAACGUUAGCUUUUUAUCCUUUUUCAGAAUGAAUAAGGUGCUGCUGUAGGUAUUAAAAUGACAUUCAGCUCUAUAUUAUUAUUAUUUUUAUGCUUCUGCCUGCAGGAAAUAUGAAAUGCACCUAUAAAAAACCUUUUCUUAACCUUGAUAAUUCACCUUCAUGCCAUAGGUGCUCAUUAAUCAUUAUCAGAGUGUGUUUACAUAGUCUGCCAGUCCAG